rnacentral:rRNA from 1 species
CCUACGGGGGGCAGCAGUGAGGAAUCUUGCGCAAUGGGCGAAAGCCUGACGCAGCGACGCCGCGUGACUGAUGAAGUCUUUCGGGAUGUAAAGGUCUUUUCUGGGGGAAGAAGGAUGUGACGGUACCCCAGGAAUAAGCCCCGGCUAACUACGUGCCAGCAGCCGCGGUAAUACGUAGGGGGCGAGCGUUGUCCGAAUUCACUGGGCGUAAAGCGCGCGUAGGCGGGCUUUUAAGUUGUGGGUGAAAUCCCGGGGCUCAACUCCGGAACUGCCUGCAAAACUGGAAGCCUUGAGGUAUGGAGAGGGAAGUGGAAUUCCUGGUGUAGCGGUGAAAUGCGUAGAUAUCAGGAGGAACACCCGUGGCGAAGGCGGCUUCCUGGCCAUAUCCUGACGCUGAGGUGCGAAAGCUAGGGGAGCGAACGGGCUUAGAUACCCCAGUAGUC